GACGAACGCUGGCGGCGUGCCUAAUACAUGCAAGUAGAACGCUGAAGGAGGAGCUUGCUCUUCUGGAUGAGUUGCGAACGGGUGAGUAACGCGUAGGUAACCUGCCUGGUAGCGGGGGAUAACUAUUGGAAACGAUAGCUAAUACCGCAUAACAGUAGAUGUUGCAUGACAUUUGCUUAAAAGGUGCAAUUGCACCACUACCAGAUGGACCUGCGUUGUAUUAGCUAGUUGGUGGGGUAACGGCUCACCAAGGCGACGAUACAUAGCCGACCUGAGAGGGGGGUCGGCCACACUGGGACUGGGACACGGCCCAGACUCCUACGGGAGGCAGCAGUAGGGAAUCUUCGGCAAAGGACGGAAGUCUGACCGAGCAACGCCGCGUGAGGGAAGAAGGUUUUCGGAUCGUAAAGCUCUGUUGUAAGAGAAGAACGAGUGUGAGAGUGGAAAGUGCACGCUGUGACGGUAUCUUACCAGAAAGGGACGGCUAACUACGUG
rnacentral:rRNA from 1 species